rnacentral:rRNA from 1 species
CAGGCCUAACACAUGCAAGUCGAGCGGACCAUUCCUUCGGGGAUGGUUAGCGGCGGACGGGUGAGUAACACGUAGGCAACCUGCCUGUAAGAUCGGGAUAACUACCGGAAACGGUAGCUAAGACCGGAUAGCUGGUUUCUCCGCAUGGGGGAAUCAUGAAACACGGGGCAACCUGUGGCUUACGGAUGGGCCUGCGGCGCAUUAGCUAGUUGGUGGGGUAACGGCCCACCAAGGCGACGAUGCGUAGCCGACCUGAGAGGGUGAUCGGCCGCACUGGGACUGAGACACGGCCCAGACUCCUACGGGGGGCAGCAGUAGGGAAUCUUCCGCAAUGGGCGCAAGCCUGACGGAGCAACGCCGCGUGAGUGAUGAAGGUUUUCGGAUCGUAAAGCUCUGUUGCCAAGGAAGAACGCCUCGGAGAGUAACUGCUCUGAGGGUGACGGUACUUGAGAAGAAAGCCCCGGCUAACUACGUGCCAGCAGCCGCGGUAAUACGUAGGGGGCAAGCGUUGUCCGGAAUUAUUGGGCGUAAAGCGCGCGCAGGCGGUCUUUUAAGUUUGGUGUUUAAGCCCGGGGCUCAACCCCGGUUCGCACUGAAAACUGGGAGACUUGAGUGCAGGAGAGGAAAGCGGAAUUCCACGUGUAGCGGUGAAAUGCGUAGAGAUGUGGAGGAACACCAGUGGCGAAGGCGGCUUUCUGGACUGUAACUGACGCUGAGGCGCGAAAGCGUGGGGAGCAAACAGGAUUAGAU